rnacentral:rRNA from 1 species
UACGGAGGGAGCUAGCGUUGUUCGGAAUUACUGGGCGUAAAGCGCGCGUAGGCGGCUUUGUAAGUUAGAGGUGAAAGCCCGGAGCUCAACUCCGGAACUGCCUUUAAGACUGCAUCGCUUGAAUCCAGGAGAGGUGAGUGGAAUUCCGAGUGUAGAGGUGAAAUUCGUAGAUAUUCGGAAGAACACCAGUGGCGAAGGCGGCUCACUGGACUGGUAUUGACGCUGAGACGCGAAAGCGUGGGGAGCAAACAGG